GGGGCUGCGGCUCAGUGGUACAGCAUCUGCUUUGCAUGCACAGUGUUCCAGGUUCAAUCGCUGGCGUCUUCA